rnacentral:rRNA from 1 species
UGAGUACAGACGCUAAGGCGUCGAAGUAGUGUAUGUCAUACUUCCAAGAAAAGCUUGCACUAUCAUAGAUAAAAACGCCUGUACCAUAACCGACACAGGUGGGUAGGUAGAGUAUACUAAGGGGCGCGAGAUAACUCUCUCUAAGGAACUCGGCAAAAUAACUCCGUAACUUCGGGAGAAGGAGUGCCUUAUUAUUAAGGUUGCAAUAACAAGAUCCAAGCAACUGUUUAUCAAAAACACAGGUCUCCGCUAAGUCGUAAGACGAUGUAUGGGGGCUGACGCCUGCCCAGUGCCAGAAGGUUAAAGAAGUUGGUUAGCAAUUGCGAAGCUGAUAACUGAAGCCCUGGUGAACGGCGGCCGUAACUAUAACGGUCCUAAGGUAGCGAAAUUCCUUGUCGGGUAAGUUCCGACCCGCACGAAAGGCGUAAUGAUUUGGAUACUGUCUCGGAGAGGGGCUCGGUGAAAUAGACUUGUCUGUGAAGAUGCGGACUACCUGCACCAGGACAGAAAGACCCUAUGAAGCUUUACUGUAACUUAAAAUUGAAACUGGACUUUAUUCGCGCAGUAUAGGUGGGAGGCGUUGAUUAUAAUCUUGCGGGAUUAUUGGAGCCAUCAGUGAGAUACCACUCUUGUAAUGUUAGAUUUCUAACUUUGAAUCAUUAUCUGGUCAAAGAACAGUUUCAGGCGGGCAGUUUGACUGGGGCGGUCGCCUCCUAAACGGUAACGGAGGCGUACAAAGGUUUCCUCUGAACGGUUAGAAAUCGUAUCUAGAGUGUAAAGGCAUAAGGAAGCUUGACUGUGAGACCUACAAGUCGAGCAGGGACGAAAGUCGGUCUUAGUGAUCUGACGGUACUGAGUGGAAAGGCCGUCACUCAACGGAUAAAAGUUACUCUAGGAUAACAGGCUGAUCUCCCCCAAGAGUUCACAUCGACGGGGAGGUUUGGCACCUCGAUGUCGGCUCAUCGCAUCCUGGGGCGGUAGUACGUCCCAAGGGUUGGGCUGUUCGCCCAUGAAAGCGGUACGCGAGCUGGGUUCAGAACGUCGUGAGACAGUUCGGUCCAUAUCCGGUGUAGGCGUUAGAAUAUUGAGAGGAGCCUUCUUUAGUACGAGAGGACCGAGAAGGACAUACCUCUGGUGUACCAGUUAUCGUGCCAACGGUAAACGCUGGGUAGCUAUGUAUGGAGUGGAUAACCGCUGAAAGCAUCUAAGUGGGAAGCCCACCUCAAGAUAAGUAUUCUCA